CUGAAUUUGAGUGUCUUGCAGAUUUUCACAUCAGAUUAACAAAUUUUCAGUGAUCAAAAGCUUAGUUCUAAAAUACAACAUUCCUGGAGGUAGCCUCAAAUCUGUCUCUAGUUCUCCAGGAUGCCUUUUUGAAUUUGUGGUGUGUGAGGUUGGGGGCUGCUGACCACUAUCUUCAAGGCUGCAGAUGAGAGCGACUUCUCUUUGAUGAUUUUCAAGAAAGCCGUGCUGUGAAGUGGCAAAGUCUCCAGGAAGCAAGAUGCCAUUGCCUCUGGGGAAACUGGUCCUUCUUUCCAGUGUGGUGGCCAGUGGGAGCUGCACCCUUAUAUAUUACCUUAUAUGAAACUGCCUUUCUUUGAAGAUCCUUUAUGCCCACCCAGCCUGGCUUCUCACCCUGACUCUGCACCAUUUUCACUUCCUGCCAGGACGUAUCACCAGCAGACAGGCAGAGAGUGCUCAGUGUCCUGUGCAUCCCUUCUCCCCCACCUUCCUUCAGCCUUGGCCCAGGGCUCUCUGAGUCUUGAGGUGGCCUGAGGCGAGCACAGCCAGGGGUAAUUCAGACUGGAAUAGCUCAGCCUCCUCUCCCCUCUGCCAAAGGGGUGGGAGCAGGACACAACAGGAAUGGGUACAUUUUAUGGGUCAGGAGACCGCGGUCUUUCCUCCUCAGUAGGCCGGGCUCGUCCAGGAGAGAUAGCCCAGCUGGCAUCUGUAGCCAACCGCCUGAGUUGAAUGCCAGAGCCAGCUCUGCGCUGGCUGUGUAGCCUUGUGGGAGGAUCUCUCACCUCUGUUAUCUGUGCGAUGAGGGGCAACACUAGUGCCUGUGCAUGAGGUUGUUGUAAAAUUAAAUAAAUUGUAAGACAUAGGAGAUACUGAGAACGGUGUCUCGCCAUGGAAAUCUGGACCCGACCUGUGCUCCUCCUUUUCCUGUCUUGGCUGGCACCAUGCUCAUACUUCCCAGUCCUGGGAAGUAGCCCAGGGUGAGCAUCCUCCCUGGGCUCUCCUGUCUCAGGCCAUCCGCCCCUUCCAUACUGGGAUGGGGCCUACAGGAGGGAAGCUCUUUCUUGUUGCCAAACUGAAACUCCUACUUGGGAAGCCUACCUUUGCUCUCUCCCGAAGGCAGCUCGUCUACCUUAUACCUUCAGGGAGGAACUUCCUGGGGUUUCUGGUAGCCUUUGGCCCAAGAAAUGUACCUGAGACGGAGAGCAGCUUAAUAAGCAGCUUUACCUAUGUGAAAUGUUGCCUUAAAUCUAUAAACUUGACAAACCAGCAUUUUCACGUUCUGUUUCUUGGCCCAAAGGUUUUGUUGCUGUUGAUGUUGAGGGCUAUUUUAUGCUGGUUUAUUGGGGCCUUCAUCCUAGUGAAAGGAGCAAUGUUUAGAAGUCCAGAGUCAUAGAUUUUGGCCCCAGCUCUACCAUGGACGAGCCAUGUCACUUUGAGCAAGUCAUGGGAUCACAGGACUUUAGAACUGAAAGGAAAGCCAGAAAGGAUCUGGGCAGACCCCUUAGAUGAAGAAACGAGGCAACGAAUAAGGUGGGAAAUGAGAGAUGAAGGAAUUGAGGUACGGAAAGAAUCAAGUACCUUGCUCAAGGUCAUCUGCCACGUUCCCGCAGAUACUGUUAGGGUCA